rnacentral:rRNA from 1 species
UACGGGGGGGCAAGCGUUGUUCGGAAUUAUUGGGCGUAAAGAGCUCGUAGGCGGUUUGUCGCGUCGGCUGUGAAAACUCGGGGCUCAACCCCGAGCCUGCAGUCGAUACGGGCAGACUAGAGUGCUGUAGGGGAGACUGGAAUUCCUGGUGUAGCGGUGAAAUGCGCAGAUAUCAGGAGGAACACCGGUGGCGAAGGCGGGUCUCUGGGCAGUAACUGACGCUGAGGAGCGAAAGCGUGGGGAGCGAACAGG